rnacentral:tRNA from 1 species
GAAAAUUUAGUUAACAAUAAUAUUAGCUUGUCAUGCUAAAGUUACCAUAAGGUAAUUUUCU